rnacentral:rRNA from 1 species
AUAGACAUGCAAGUCGAGCGAACAGAAGGGAGCUUGCUCCCGGAUGUUAGCGGCGGACGGGUGAGUAACACGUGGGUAACCUGCCUGUAAGACUGGGAUAACUCCGGGAAACCGGAGCUAAUACCGGAUAGUUCCUUGAACCGCAUGGUUCAAGGAUGAAAGACGGUUUCGGCUGUCACUUACAGAUGGACCCGCGGCGCAUUAGCUAGUUGGUGGGGUAAUGGCUCACCAAGGCGACGAUGCGUAGCCGACCUGAGAGGGUGAUCGGCCACACUGGGACUGAGACACGGCCCAGACUCCUACGGGAGGCAGCAGUAGGGAAUCUUCCGCAAUGGACGAAAGUCUGACGGAGCAACGCCGCGUGAGUGAUGAAGGUUUUCGGAUCGUAAAGCUCUGUUGUUAGGGAAGAACAAGUGCGAGAGUAACUGCUCGCACCUUGACGGUACCUAACCAGAAAGCCACGGCUAACUACGUGCCAGCAGCCGCGGUAAUACGUAGGUGGCAAGCGUUGUCCGGAAUUAUUGGGCGUAAAGGGCUCGCAGGCGGUUUCUUAAGUCUGAUGUGAAAGCCCCCGGCUCAACCGGGGAGGGUCAUUGGAAACUGGGAAACUUGAGUGCAGAAGAGGAGAGUGGAAUUCCACGUGUAGCGGUGAAAUGCGUAGAGAUGUGGAGGAACACCAGUGGCGAAGGCGACUCUCUGGUCUGUAACUGACGCUGAGGAGCGAAAGCGUGGGGAGCGAACAGGAUUAGAUACCCUGGUAGUCCACGCCGUAAACGAUGAGUGCUAAGUGGUUAAGGGGGUUUCCGCCCCUUAGUGCUGCAGCUAACGCAUUAAGCACUCCGCCUGGGGGAGUACGGUCGCAAGACUGAAACUCAAAGGAAUUGACGGGGGCCCGCACAAGCGGUGGAAGCAUGUGGUUUAAUUCGAAGCAACGCGAAGAACCUUACCAGGUCUUGACAUCCUCUGACACCCUAGAGAUAGGCUUUCCUUCGGGACAAAUGA